rnacentral:rRNA from 1 species
CAGAGGGUGCAAGCGUUGUUCGGAAUUACUGGGCGUAAAGCGCGUGUAGGUGGCGAUGUAAGUCGGGUGUGAAAUCCCUCAGCUUAACUGAGGAAGUGCACUCGAUACUGUGUCGCUUGAGUGUUGGAGGGGAUGGCGGAAUUCCCGGUGUAGAGGUGAAAUUCGUAGAUAUCGGGAGGAACACCUGUGGCGAAGGCGGCCAUCUGGACAACUACUGACACUGAGACGCGAAAGCGUGGGUAGCAAACAGGAUUAGAUACCUGGUAGUCCACGCUGUAAACGAUGAGUGCUAGACGUCAUGGGUAUUGACCCCUGUGGUGUCGAAGUUAACACGUUAAGCACUCCGCCUGGGGAGUACGGUCGCAAGAUUA